rnacentral:rRNA from 1 species
GCUGGCGGCAGGCCUAACACAUGCAAGUCGAGCGGUAGCACAGAGAGCUUGCUCUCGGGUGACGAGCGGCGGACGGGUGAGUAAUGUCUGGGAAACUGCCUGAUGGAGGGGGAUAACUACUGGAAACGGUAGCUAAUACCGCAUAACGUCGCAAGACCAAAGUGGGGGACCUUCGGGCCUCAUGCCAUCAGAUGUGCCCAGAUGGGAUUAGCUAGUAGGUGGGGUAACGGCUCACCUAGGCGACGAUCCCUAGCUGGUCUGAGAGGAUGACCAGCCACACUGGAACUGAGACACGGUCCAGACUCCUACGGGAGGCAGCAGUGGGGAAUAUUGCACAAUGGGCGCAAGCCUGAUGCAGCCAUGCCGCGUGUGUGAAGAAGGCCUUCGGGUUGUAAAGCACUUUCAGCGGGGAGGAAGGCGGUGAGGUUAAUAACCUCGUCGAUUGACGUUACCCGCAGAAGAAGCACCGGCUAACUCCGUGCCAGCAGCCGCGGUAAUACGGAGGGUGCAAGCGUUAAUCGGAAUUACUGGGCGUAAAGCGCACGCAGGCGGUCUGUCAAGUCGGAUGUGAAAUCCCCGGGCUCAACCUGGGAACUGCAUUCGAAACUGGCAGGCUAGAGUCUUGUAGAGGGGGGUAGAAUUCCAGGUGUAGCGGUGAAAUGCGUAGAGAUCUGGAGGAAUACCGGUGGCGAAGGCGGCCCCCUGGACAAAGACUGACGCUCAGGUGCGAAAGCGUGGGGAGCAAACAGGAUUAGAUACCCUGGUAGUCCACGCCGUAAACGAUGUCGAUUUGGAGGUUGUGCCCUUGAGGCGUGGCUUCCGGAGCUAACGCGUUAAAUCGACCGCCUGGGGAGUACGGCCGCAAGGUUAAAACUCAAAUGAAUUGACGGGGGCCCGCACA